rnacentral:rRNA from 1 species
UACAGAGGUCUCAAGCGUUGUUCGGAUUCAUUGGGCGUAAAGGGUGCGUAGGUGGCGCGGUAAGUCGGGUGUGAAAUCUCGGAGCUUAACUCCGAAAUUGCAUUCGAUACUGCCGUGCUCGAGGACUGGAGAGGAGACUGGAAUUCAUGGUGUAGCAGUGAAAUGCGUAGAGAUCAUGAGGAAGACCAGUGGCGAAGGCGGGUCUCUGGGCCGUAACUGACGCUGAGGAGCGAAAGCGUGGGGAGCGAACAGG